UACGAAGGGGGCUAGCGUUGCUCGGAAUCACUGGGCGUAAAGGGUGCGUAGGCGGGUCUUUAAGUCAGGGGUGAAAUCCCAGGGCUCAACCCUGGAACUGCCUUUGAUACUGGAAAUCUUGAGUCCGGGAGAGGUGAGUGGAACUGCGAGUGUAGAGGUGAAAUUCGUAGAUAUUCGCAAGAACACCAGUGGCGAAGGCGGCUCACUGGCCCGGUACUGACGCUGAGGUGCGAAAGCGUGGGGAGCAAACAGG
rnacentral:rRNA from 1 species